AGAUUAAGAUCAAUCUUUCCUCGCUUAACAUCUAUGAUUGCUCCAACUGUAGCCAAAAAAGGUCUUCCUAAUAUCAAGGGAUCUUUUGGUUCUUAAUCCAUGUUUAGCACUACGAAGUCUGUAGGCACCUCCACAUUUCCAAUCUUGAUAGGCAAAUCUUCUAAUAACCCAUGAGGUAGUCUAACAGACCUAUCUGCCAAGAUCAAGGAGAUAUUGCAGUAUUUAUACUUGUUGAAACCCAACCUCUUAGCUACUGAGAGUGGCAUGAGAUUUACUGAUGCUCCUAGGUCACAAAGGCAUUUAUUGAAAGUCAAUGAACCUAGGGAGCAUGGUAGAGUGAAUGAACCAGGGUCUCCUAGCUUUUCUGGGACAUCGUUCUCCUGUAUGAUGGCACUGCACUCAUGGCUCAGAACUGUUGUUUUCUGAACCUCUUGAAUUCUCUCCAUGAUCAAGUCUUUGAGGAACUUUUUGGAAUCCGGGAUACGCGUUAGAGCAUCAGCAAGAGGUAUCCUUAAUUCGACUGCCUUGAUGUUCUUGGCAAACAUAGCUCUGUACUUAUCUUCUAACUCUUUCUUAUGUCGACCAGGAAAUGGAAGUGGGGGCUUGUAAGGAUGAGGAAUGGAGACUUUUUCUUUGCUUUUGACAACAACAUGUUUCGGAUCAAUUGGUGAUGUUGCUGGGAAGGUCGGUCGAGUGAAGUGGUCGAGUGGCAGCUCGAGUGACAAGUCGAGUGGCUGCUCGAGUGACUGGUCGAGUGGCUGCUCGAGUGACUGGUCGAGUGGCAGCUCGAGUUGUUUGUCAGCUUGAUCUUUAUUGAGACUGAAAUCCUCCCCAUCUUGGUAUGCACUGUCCUCAGUUACUGACUUGAGUCUCUCUCUAGUGGAUAACUAACUUCCACUCCUUAUGUUGAUAGCAUGAACAUUACCAUACUCCUUGGGAUUCUGAAUUGACUUCCCUGGAAGUCCCGUAACUUUGGGAGCAGAGGUAGAUGCGAAUUGUCCUUCUAAUUAUCUGACUUUGGAAUUCAACGCCUCCACUUUUGCAUUCAGGUCAUUGUAGUUGCAGUCCAGCUUGUGGUGCAAUUCGGAUAACUUCUUAGCAAUUUCCAUGGAGCUAUAUGCUUGUCCAUGUAGCAGUUGUUGGACCAUCUGUUUUAUUUCAGCAUCAGGAGCAGCAAGACCUUGGUUUUGCGGAGGUGCAAACCCAGGUGGUGGUGGUUGUUGGUAGUUCCCCUGGAAUUGCUGCUUGGGAACAAAACCUUGAUUGUAGGGAACAAAAGGUUUGUUCUGACCUUGUUCUUGUUGUGGAGGAUACACUUGAUCCUGAGGAUUAGCAACGUUGGUGCUGCGGUAAGAGAGGUUGGGGUUGUUCAUCUUGAAGUUGUUGUACCCUUUAUAGCCACCUUGAUUGUUGAUGUAGCUAACUUCUUCUAAUUGGAUAACCUCCCCAUCUUGGACUUGAUACUGCUUGUCAUCAACAAGGAAGUGCACAUGCUUCUGCUGGCUACGAAGAAUCUUGUCCAGCUUGUCAUUCAGCACUUUGAUCUCCUUUCUGUGUUUGUCAUCAGAGUCAGUUGUGCCUCUGAUAGUUCUGUCGCAGUCCUCGUUGUAAUUACCAUCUGAUUGAGCAAGGUUCUCAACCAAUUCUCAGCCUUCUUCAACAUCUUUUUUCUGGAAAUUCCCAUUGUUGGCGGUAUCCAGAAGCAUUCUAAUGCGUGGUAGGACUCCUCUAUAAAGAGUGCUGAGCAGAGAGGCUUUAGUAAAGCCAUGAUGAGGGCAUUGGUUGGUGUAACCCUUGAAACGCUCCCAUUCUUCACAGAAGCUUUCACCAGUCUUCUGUGAGAAACCAGAAAUCUCAUUUCUGAGUCUUGCAGUUCUGGCAUUGGAGAAGAACUUUGAUAGAAAAGCCUUCUUGCAAUCAUCCCAGGUGGUGAUUGAGUCAUGGGGCAGAUUCUUCUCCCAGAUGUGUGCUUUGUCGCCCAAGGAGAAAGGAAACAAACGGAGCUUGAAUCCGUCUUCACUGACACCAUUGAUCUUUGUCAGGUUGCAGAGCCUAUCGAAUUCAUCUAGGUGGUCGAGUGGAUCCUCCAUUAGCAGACCAUGAAAUUUAUUCCCCUGAAUUAUCGAGAUGAGACCACUCUUAAUCUCGAAGUUGUUGUUCUGGAUAGCAGGAGGUGCAAUUCCUUUCCUCUGACGGUGAUCACGUGGUGCAUCUCCAGCACCAAUGUUGGCAGUGCCAUUUUGUUUAUUCUGUUCUUCAGCCAUUUCGAGUGGUUGCUGAGGUACAAGGUUGACUGUGUUUCUCCUUUCUCUGAGUUCCCGAGCUAUGCGGUCAAUGUUGUCGUUGAAAAGGAGGUUCUGAUUGCCUGUUGAUCGAGUUCGCAAACAGCAAAGAUGUACCUGGAUCAAGAAGACAACAAGAAAAACACACAGUUAGUAACCGAAAAGAAAAUUGAAAAAGAACUUGAUCGAAGCAAGUCUGAAAUCUCAAAUGUAACAAACAAACACCCAAUUGGCAACGACGCCAAAUUGAUAAUAGGUUUUUAGUCAAUUAUCCUAAAACACCAAUCAUGUCGUUGUAGUAUUUUAGGUUGUCAAUCCAAAUGGGUGUGAUGCUAACAAUCAAGAUGUGAUCAGAAGUCACUAAGUCAAGCUAAGCAAUAACAGGUUUGGUGUGUUCUAGCAGUCCUAACAGAAAUUCAAGCAGAAAACAAUAAAACACUCGACCAACACAGCUCUU
rnacentral:sRNA from 1 species